rnacentral:rRNA from 1 species
AUUGAACGCUGGCGGCAUGCCUUACACAUGCAAGUCGAACGGCAGCACGGGUGCUUGCACCUGGUGGCGAGUGGCGAACGGGUGAGUAAUACAUCGGAACAUGUCCUGUAGUGGGGGAUAGCCCGGCGAAAGCCGGAUUAAUACCGCAUACGAUCUACGGAUGAAAGCGGGGGACCUUCGGGCCUCGCGCUAUAGGGUUGGCCGAUAGCGGAUUAGCUAGUUGGUGGGGUAAAGGCCUACCAAGGCGACGAUCAGUAGCUGGUCUGAGAGGACGACCAGCCACACUGGGACUGAGACACGGCCCAGACUCCUACGGGAGGCAGCAGUGGGGAAUUUUGGACAAUGGGCGAAAGCCUGAUCCAGCAAUGCCGCGUGUGUGAAGAAGGCCUUCGGGUUGUAAAGCACUUUUGUCCGGAAAGAAAUCCUUGGCUCUAAUACAGUCGGGGGAUGACGGUACCGGAAGAAUAAGCACCGGCUAACUACGUG